GGGCUAGCGUUGUUCGGAAUUACUGGGCGUAAAGCGCACGUAGGCGGACUACUAAGUCAGGGGUGAAAUCCUGGAGCUCAACUCCAGAACUGCCUUUGAUACUGAAGAUCUUGAGUUCGGGAGAGGUGAGUGGAACUGCGAGUGUAGAGGUGAAAUUCGUAGAUAUUCGCAAGAACACCAGUGGCGAAGGCGGCUCACUGGCCCGAUACUGACGCUGAGGCACGAAAGCGUGGGGAGCAAACAGG
rnacentral:rRNA from 1 species